AAUACUAUGUCUGAUUAAAGUAAUAAAUUGUAAAUUUAUUUAAGAAAAUAUUAAUUUUUCUAGUAUUA
rnacentral:tRNA from 2 species